UUUCCGUAGGUGACCCUGCGGAAGGAUCAUUAUUGUAUAACCGAGGUGCGAGGGCUGUCGCUGACCCGAAAGGUCGUGCACGCCCGAGUGCCCUCACACACAUCCAUCUCACCCCUGUGUGCACCACCGCGUGGGUCCCCCUUUGGCUUGUUCGGAGGGGGGCUUACGUUUUCACACAAACUUUGUAUGCAGUGUAGAAUGUAUUUUUUGUUUUUGCGAUCACGCAAUCAAUACAACUUUCAACAACGGAUCUCUUGGCUCUC
rnacentral:misc_RNA from 1 species